GCGGAGAUGGCGGAACGGCUACGCGCCCGCCUGCAGAGCGGGUCAACUGGGUUCGACUCCCAGUCUCCGCU
rnacentral:tRNA from 1 species